CUACGGAGGGUGCAAGCGUUAUCCGGAAUCAUUGGGUUUAAAGGGUCCGUAGGCGGAUUAUUAAGUCAGAGGUGAAAUCCCACAGCUUAACUGUGGAACUGCCUUUGAUACUGGUAGUCUUGAGUUAUAUGGAAGUAGAUAGAAUGUGUAGUGUAGCGGUGAAAUGCAUAGAUAUUACACAGAAUACCGAUUGCGAAGGCAGUCUACUACGUAUAUACUGACGCUAAUGGACGAAAGCGUGGGGAGCGAACAGGAUUAGAAACCCUAGUAGUCC
rnacentral:rRNA from 1 species